UGACAUUUAAUCUCUUAAAAAAAUUGAAGAUUCAUUUUUUUCCGAAGCAGAAGAUUGAAAGUAUGUUCUUGAAUACUCAAGAAUGAAAAAAUCGACAACCCAUCAUCUUUACCAAUAGGUAUUAAUAUAAACCAAACGGGGCAAAUAUGUUGGAAUGAAGUUUCCAAUUAGCAGAAGAUUGGAAGUUCUCGGGACAUAAC
rnacentral:lncRNA from 1 species